rnacentral:rRNA from 1 species
AACCAGAAGGCGCAAUGAAAGUGAAGGCACGGUCGCCGUGCUGAGGUGAGAGCCGUCCUCGACGGCACAUCAUCGACCGAUCCCAUCCGCUCCCUCGGGUGCGGCGGGAUUCGAGUAAGAGUGUACCUGUUGCGACCCGAAAGAUGGUGAACUAUGCCUGAAUAGGGUGAAGCCAGAGGAAACUCUGGUGGAGGCCCGUAGCGAUUCUGACGUGCAAAUCGAUCGUCAAAUUUGGGUAUAGGGGCGAAAGACUAAUCGAACCAUCUAGUAGCUGGUUCCCUCCGAAGUUUCCCUUAGGAUAGCUGUAGCCCUAAGCAGUUUUAUCAGGUAAAGCGAAUGAUUAGAGGUAUCGGGGAAGAAACUUCCUCGACCUAUUCUCAAACUUUAAAUAGGUAAGAAGUCCGACUUGCUCAAUUUGAAGCCGGACACAGAAUGCUGGGUUACUAGUGGGCCAUUUUUGGUAAGCAGAACUGGCGAUGCGGGAUGAACCGAACGCCGAGUUAAGGUGCCAAAGUCGACGCUCAUCAGAUCCCACAAA